UACGAAGGGGCGAGCGUUGUUCGGAUUUACUGGGCGUAAAGGGCGCGUAGGCGGCCGCUCAAGUCAGGCGUGAAAGCCCCGGGCUCAACCUGGGAGGUGCGCUUGGGACUGGGUGGCUGGAGUUCGGGAGAGGAGCGUGGAAUUCCCAGUGUAGAGGUGAAAUUCGUAGAUAUUGGGAAGAACACCGGUGGCGAAGGCGGCGCUCUGGACCGAGACUGACGCUGAGGCGCGAAAGCCAGGGGAGCAAACGGGG
rnacentral:rRNA from 1 species